rnacentral:rRNA from 1 species
UACGUAGGGGGCAAGCGUUGUCCGGAAUUAUUGGGCGUAAAGAGCGUGUAGGCGGUCCGGUAAGUCAGCUGUGAAAGUCAAGGGCUCAACCUCGGAACUGCCUUUGAUACUGCAAAUCUCGAGUCCGGAAGAGGUGAGUGGAAUUCCUAGUGUAGAGGUGAAAUUCGUAGAUAUUAGGAAGAACACCAGUGGCGAAGGCGGCUCACUGGUCCGGUACUGACGCUGAGGUGCGAAAGCGUGGGGAGCAAACAGG